rnacentral:rRNA from 1 species
AGCGAACGCUGGCGGCAGGCCUAACACAUGCAAGUCGAACGAACUCUUCGGAGUUAGUGGCGGACGGGUGAGUAACGCGUGGGAACGUGCCUUUUGGUUCGGAGUAACUCAGGGAAACUUGUGCUAAUACCGAAUGUGCCCUUCGGGGGAAAGAUUUAUCGCCAUUAGAGCGGCCCGCGUCUGAUUAGCUAGUUGGUGAGGUAACGGCUCACCAAGGCGACGAUCAGUAGCUGGUCUGAGAGGAUGACCAGCCACACUGGGACUGAGACACGGCCCAGACUCCUACGGGAGGCAGCAGUGGGGAAUCUUGCGCAAUGGGCGAAAGCCUGACGCAGCCAUGCCGCGUGAAUGAUGAAGGUCUUAGGAUUGUAAAAUUCUUUCACCGGGGACGAUAAUGACGGUACCCGGAGAAGAAGCCCCGGCUAACUUCGUG